GGAGUUGGCAAUGAUAUCAGGUGUGUAAUCAUUAAUCCAAACAGUUGCAACUAGAACUAGAGUUUCUAUUGGACAAAUUCAGGUAGGUCCCUACCUGUUCCGUUUGCUUCCAUUUUAAGUAAGGUUUUGCAACAGAAUCUGCGUAAUGAAUACACCCUAGAGAGCUGCUGGUCUGGUUGAGUCUAUUCUCUCCUCUGUACCAGGACAAGGUCACAUCUUGCACACAUCUGAACAGCUCGAGCUUUAGAGCAAUGAACCAUUUGUUUGGAUGGACAAGGCUCAUGCUGCUAUAUUUCAUCAUUUAUGUUCUCUGUGCUUCCCAGCAAACAGUAAAGUCUGAGACUCAGCAGAUGAAAGGCAUUGUGGGACAGUCUUUAUCGUUUCCAGAGAGAGUGUUUAAAACUGGAUAUUUAAGGUAUGGAGAAGACACUACUGCAAGUGUGAUCAAUGGACAAAGCCAUAGAUUUAGAAGAGAUUUAAAAAUCGCGUUAACUGGGACAAUGUAACAGGAUUAUUCAGUCUGUCAGACCUACAGAUAGAAGAUGCUGGGGUUUAUUCUGUGGAGAAUAAAGACGGAGAGAAGAGGAUACCUAAAUUUAACCUCACUCUUUACUAUGUUGUUUCCAAACCUCAGGUGACAGAGUGUGACAGCAGCUCCUGUAGUGUGGUGUGUUCUGUGGACAACAAAAA